CCACCACGCCUGCCUGCUCGGCUGAGAAUCGCCAUGUUUGUUUCGUGUAAAAGGAUUAAGUAAAAAUUUCUUGGUUUGAGAGUCAUUCCAUGAGCUAUUAAAGCCAGCUAAAGGGAAAAAAGGAAAAGGCCAGGGCAAGUCUCAUGGGAAGAAACAGAAGAAACCAGAAGUGGACAUUCUCAGCCCCGCGGCCAUGCUGAACCUCUACUACAUCGCCCACAACGUCGCUGACUGCCUGCAUCUGCGAGGCUUCCAUUGGCCGGGUGCUCCCAAAGGAAAGAAAGGGAGAAGCAAGUGACAGCAUUUCACAACACAUCUCUGUUACAGACAACAGGACCUGGGGAAGAGAAGUCAGGAUAACACAACUGUUGCCAGCAACAUAGACUUUACUCCAGACGACUUGAGAUGCAAAUUAAGUGUGCUUUUCUGUGAUGGUGGAAGAUCAGGAAAUGCACCUUACUUCCUCUGUUAUGCCAGAUAUGGUUAGCCACUUUG
rnacentral:lncRNA from 1 species